rnacentral:lncRNA from 1 species
UUCUAUAGUUUUGAGAAAUUUGAGAAUUUCCAACAUUAUCAUAUAUCAUCAAAAAACUUCUGAAGAGUGUUUUUUUGUUUUCGUUAUAGAAUUUCUUAGCAAGCAUGGCCAACCACUUCUCACUCUAUGCCACUCUACUCCUCCUCUUCACAUCAAGUGAGUAAUAUUGUGAUAAUUUUUUUUGAAGUUUAUUUUUUUUGUGAUUAACAAUCAGCAACAACUUUUUAAAAAUGAUAAGGUAUAUUUUUUGUCCCUAAUAUUUAUAAUUUUUUAAAAAUAUCUUUAACAUUUAAUUUUAUUCAAUUUUGUCUCUAACAUUUUUUAUUUGUUUUAAAACCAUCCCUAAAUAUCUUUAACUUUGUCCCCAAUAUUUUUUAGAUGAAGCUAAUAUCCAGAGAUAAUUUUGAUAUAAACCAAAAAUGUUAGGGACAAAAUUGAAUACAAUUAAACGUUAGAAAUAUUUUUAAAAAAAAUUACAAAUAUUAAGAAUAAAAAACAUAUUUUACCCUUUUAAAAAUAAUUCUUGCACUUAUAUUAAGGGACCAAAAAGUAUAUUAUACUUUUAAGAAAUAUUAUAUAUUACUUGCAAAUUGUAAUUUGUGAAUAAUGUUAAAAUUUUAGUAUUUUUUUUUCUAUUAUUGAACCUUUUUAUUCGCGAGACUAUAUGACGAAUCAGUGAUUAUUGUUAUUGGUAAUGAAAUCUAAAAAAUGAUCAUAACUAUAAUCCUCCAAAACUAGUUAUAAUAAAUAAGAUAACAUUCGAAAAACAAUACUCUAAAAUUUUGACACAAACAAUGUUUUGUAAUAACAUAUAUAAAUAUAUAUGUAUAUAGGUGCUCUCAUGGUUAUGGUGGCUAGUGACCGGUGCAAGCAAGAAAAUGGCGAUUGCACCGCCGCUUUCGGGAAAACAUGUACUGAAGACUUUUUAUUGAGUGAUAAUUGUGAAGAUACGAAGUGUACUCUUGCUUGUAUUAGCAAGCAUCCUCGCCGUAAAGCUCAAGGAAGAUGCCAACUAGUACUUCCUCCACAAUUUACUGAUUUUUGUCGUUGCACUUUCCUGUGUUCUGCUAUAGCUAAAAAGUUUUUGCCUUAGAUUUAAAAUAGAAAAGGUUGAUCAUUCAUCAAUUAACAACCUAUUAGAUGAAUUUAUCUGCGUAUAAUAAAGUUCUCUCUCUUUUUUGGUUUAUUUGUUAUACUUCUACUACCUACUUCUAUAACAGAGUAGUAAUUAAAAAUGUUAUUUGUUCUAUUUGUUAAGAGAAUGAGAAUUUAAUUUUAA